UACGUAGGGGGCAAGCGUUGUCCGGAAUCAUUGGGCGUAAAGAGCGUGUAGGCGGCCAGAUAAGUCCGCUGUGAAAUCUCGAGGCUCAACUUCGAGCUGUCGGUGGAAACUGUCUGGCUAGAGUCCGGAAGAGGAGAAUGGAAUUCCUGGUGUAGCGGUGAAAUGCGCAGAUAUCAGGAAGAACACCCGUGGCGAAGGCGGUUCUCUGGGCCGGUACUGACGCUGAGGAGCGAAAGCGUGGGGAGCAAACAGG
rnacentral:rRNA from 1 species